rnacentral:rRNA from 1 species
AUACGUAGGGUGCGAGCGUUGUCCGGAAUUACUGGGCGUAAAGAGCUCGUAGGUGGUUUGUCGCGUCGUCUGUGAAAUUCCGGGGCUUAACUCCGGGCGUGCAGGCGAUACGGGCAUAACUUGAGUACUGUAGGGGAGACUGGAAUUCCUGGUGUAGCGGUGAAAUGCGUAGAUAUCAGGAGGAACACCGGUGGCGAAGGAGGAUUUAUGGGACGAAACUGACGUUGAGGUGCGACAGCAUGGGAAGCAAACAGGAUUAGAUACCUUGGUAGUCCAUGUUGUAAACGGUGGGAGCUAGGUGUAGGGGGCACCCACGACUUCAGUGCCGUAGGUAACGCAUUAAGCGCCCCGCCUGGGGAGUUCGGCCGCAAGGCUAAAACUCAAAUGAAUUGACGGGG